UACAAUUAUUAGAAUAUCUAAAACAAUCUAAAUUUUGAUAUGAUGAUCCAAUCUCAUGCACGCUCUUCGAAGACUAGCUAUUUAUUGUUCUUAUCAAUCUCCAUUACCACUUGGAGAAAGCUCCUAUGCUUAUGCAGGAUAACUCUUUUACAUUUCAUAACACCCAUGCAUAGAGAUAGCAAUUUGCUAACCUGGACUGCAGACCUGACCCGUAAAGAAUUUCUGCGGGGAGGAUUUGAGCCGGCAAUUUGUAGGCUCGCAAAGGAGGAGGCCUAGCGAGUAAGUGUCCUGCAGUAUUAGACUUUCGGUAGGAUGGGCUUCACUUGGACCCACGGGAUAAGUAAAGAAUUCACUUGGACCCGUAUGGUAAUGAUGUGAACAUGUUUUAUUAAACUUAUAUUGUAGUUGCAUCCGCUGAUUGGCAUCACCUUGAGCUUUCGCAAUUAUUACAUCGUUUAGGAAAAUGCUUUCUUAAAUAUCAACUAGAUUUUGACCCGCGCUUUCGAAGCGCGGGUUUUUUGGCUAAUAAAAAUGUUUGAUAUGAAUUAGUGGAAGUACAGAUUUUUCGUUUAAUUACGAUUGAUAUGAAUUAGUGUUUUGAUUUGAUGUAUAUUAUUAUGCACACUCUUAUGUUACAACAUCAUCUUUAUAUUUUAUGUGAAUUUUAUAAGAGUUAUAUCUGUUGAGCUGGUGAGACAUAAGAUUUGCUUUGAAGAUUUUGGGCUAAUUUAGUAGUAUGAUUUUUUUUAGGUUUUUAAUAUUUUUAGCAAUGUUUUUGUACCUGAUCCAAAUCCACGGUCGAAUUGAUAAUUUUGGUGACGUAUAUAAUCUGAUCAUACUAAAUUAAAACAUAAUAUAUAAAAACAUGAUAAAACCUGAAAAACAAUUUAUCAUUAACCCGCCAUCUGAUACUGUUGACCCGAUAAAAUAUCAUAUAAAUUUGAUGAUAUUUUUUAAAAUGUUGAUUCAAACUUUUUCAAUACUUUUUAGUAGUACUUAAAAGUGAAUAAACUUUUUGAUUUGUGAUUCUUUAAUAGUAUGAAUUUGUAGGUUUUUAACAGUUUUAGCAAUAGUUUUGUACCCGGUCCAAACUCGCGGUCGAAUUAAUAAAUCCGGUAAUCCAUAUAUAAUCCGAUCUGGAUUAAGUUAAAACUUAAUAUGUAAAAACUUGAUAAAACUUGAUAAAACUUGGUAAAAACUCAUCAUUAACCCGCCAUAUGAUAAUGAUUGAUCCAAUAAAAUAUUAUAUAAAUCUGAUGACAUUUUAAAAAAUAUUGAUUUAAACUUUUGCGUACUUUUUAAUAGUACUUAAAAUUGAAUAUAUCGAAUGACACUAAGAUUUUUUAAAAAUUACAUGAUAAAAAAUUCUCAAAAAAAUUACAUGAUAAGAUGGAAAGGGACCCAUUUCCAAAUUCAUAGUGUAUCCCUCUAUUAUAAAUGUGGUUCUUAUAUUCAGUUUCAAUAAUAUUGAGUAAAAAAAUGAGUUUAUUUAAAGUAUUUUAUAGUUACAGAAAAUAAAAGUAAGGCAAAAAAUAAUAAUAUAAUUAAUGAGUAGGUGCAAUAUUUUUGUAAGUAACUUUUUAGGAUGAUCAUAUUUUAAUAAUAUAGAUAAUAAAAAGAAAUUUGUGUGAUCUAAUAUUUUCAAUAAUUAUUCUAUGCUUUUUGUUCAUGUGGUUGUUCUAUGUUUUUUCCAACGAUUAUGAGUAAUAAGGUUAACAUAUUUUUUUGUUUAUAUGUAGGUGAUGAAUUAUGAUAGGUUAUUAAUUUGAAACUUAAUUAUGAUAUAGUUAUAACAUAAAAGAGAGUUGCUGUCGAUCUACGUAGAUAAGGGACCCACCAUAUAUGUGACUAAAAUCUAUCAACUGAAAAAAGGAUUCUAAUGUAACAGAUUAUAUAUUUUUGAUUUAGUUAAAACAAUAUAAAAGACAUAUUAAGUUUCUAAUGAAAAGGUCCAAACAAGUUUUAUAAGUAGAUUUAUCAAAAAUGUUUCCCUUUUAAUAGAAUAGAUUUGUUCAUAUUAUCAAAAUUAACCUAGAAAUCUAUGGUAAUGAUGUAACAUCCAUUUUCACAUUAAAGAGGAGAAUUAGAUCAUAUUUAGUGAAUGACCAAGAGAAACGAGGCACACUUAUCAAGGUUUCAUGAUGGUUCCUUGGGACUCCAUCAUCGUCCAUUUGCCUCCUAUUUAAGCGGGUCUUCUCCUCUUUCUUGGAACUUCAAGUGCCCCUGAAGAACCGUUACUCACUUUCUGCCAGAUCUUUGUCUUACCGGCGAGAUCCCCUCUCCCUAGUCUAGAUUCUACAUGGUUGAUGAGUUCUUGAUGACCACAACUCCUUUCUCUGUGGUAGCGCCACCAGAUCUAUCAAGUGUGCUAGCAUCUUCUGUUUAUCGCCAUGUUCUGACUUUUCACCAAAUCUCCUCCAUUCCUUGGAGCCUCCCGACCGAGACCCGGCAUAUCAACCCUUCCCUCCUCAAUUCAUGUCUUCUUCUCUAAAUUCGCUACUGGUCUCCCAUCCCCCUACUCUGGCGACCUGCUAGUGGAGUUCUGAAGCCACUUUGCCAUCCAAUCGUAACACUCCCAAUUUCCUCCUUUCCUCCUGACGAUCUCAACUAUGCCGGUGAUGUCAACAAUAUAAGUAGGCCAAAAAGUUAAUAUAGUGGGUUUUGCCAUUAGUUCUGCCCAUAAAUUUGUAGGCCAGCAAAUUUCAGGUAAAAAAUGCUCAAUCUUGGCGUCAGUCCCUACGUCAUUAUUGGUGUUUCUAGGGCACUUGGCACAGUUUUUUUUUGGCGUUGGGUAUGCUAAUUUUAGCAAGUUUCUCUUAUUGGGAGAAAUCAUUACACAACCCUUUAAACUUGUCCUUGUUGGAUAAAUUUAGUCAAAUUUCCUCUCGGUAGACUCAAGAGGUAUGCUUCUCCACUUCCUCUUUUUCAAAAGAGAAAUAUUUCACCAAAAUAUUUCAAAAGAGAACUAUUUCACCAAUAUUUCACCUCUUUCAUUAUUCAGUCUAAAUUAUUUGUUUCUUAACUGCUUGUUAUCUUAGGUGAAGGUCCACUUGAGGUCAGUAGAUGCAAUGAUUCUCAUUGAGGUGAGAAUCGAAGUUGUAGAUGGUGUUGUGACAUCACAGGUUAUAGUGAUCUGUUAUUUGAAAAACUUGAAGUGUGGUUUAAGUAUUUUAUAGAUUUGAUCGCCGGUGACAACUUUAAAAUCUUUCAUGGAAUUUUAUCAAAUUUCCAUAAGUUUGUGUCUAUAUCCUUGUUUAUAGUUGAUUUAUUUGUCUGGUAUUUAGUCUUUAUGCUUACACAUCGUGUUUUGUACGAUUUCUUACCAUUCUUGUAGUUGUUUAAAUCUAUUAUUGAAGAUUUUGUGUACAAAAAGGUUACUGAAUAACCAUAAAAUGAGUAAAAUUAAAGUAA